rnacentral:rRNA from 1 species
CCCUUAGAUGUUCUGGGCCGCGCGCGCGCUACACUGAUGCAUUCAACGAGUGUACCUUGGCCGAGAGGCCUGGGCAAUCUUUUGAACGUGCAUCGUGAUAGGGAUAGAUUAUUGCAAUUAUUAAUCUUGAACGAGGAAUUCCUAGUAAACGCAGUUCAUCAAACUGCAUUGAUUACGUCCCUGCCCUUUGUACACACCGCCCGUCGCACCUACCGAUUGGAUGGUCCGGUGAAGCCUCGGGAUUGUGGCGGUUGCCUUUAUUGGUGGCCGCCGCGAGAACUUGUCUAAACCUUAUCAUCUAGAGGAAGGUGAAGUCGUAACA